GUAAAUAUAGUUAAAAAAAAAAAACAUUAGAUUGUGAAUCUAAUAAUAGAAGAUCAUCCCUCCUUUUUUACC
rnacentral:tRNA from 1 species